ACGAAUUUCUUAGAAACUGUAAAAUAAUUUUUCCGACAAUUUUUUUACAUCAAACCAAAUGCUAGUAAAACAAUUUUCAAGCCUGAAAAUUUUUUUUCAGGGUAACCAAACACACCCUAAGCCAUUUUCGAUGAUGGAACUUCUGAAUCGAUGAUCGGCUCCGUUAGACUUGAUUUAGCGUAUUUGAACUAUCUAAAAAAUAAAUUUGUUGUUUUUGAAAGGAUUCAAAAUCAACAAUAUUUUCUUUAUACUAUCUAUAGCAAGAUCAGUAUUUCUGAUAAAAAAUUUUAGUGCUAUAUCACCGCUAGGUAAAUGAUAUCGAAACAUUGCAAAAUUUAUUUUCUAAACACUUUAAACACGCUAGAUCAAGUUUAACGGAGCUCAUCAUCAAUUCAAAAGCUUCAUCAUCGAAAAUAGCUUAAAAGCAAGGAAGCCUCCGUGCUCCUAAUAGCACACAAGACCUACUAUAUAUACAUAUAUAUAGAGAGAGAGAGCUGGGCUACUAUGCUAACUUUCAACUUGGUUGAAUAGUUUGAUCUAACGGGUGAGAAUGAUCAGAGGGUAGAUCUAAUGGCAGAAAACUCGAUAGUAUCAAAUGCUUGGUACUAUCGAUAGUAUAGUAGCCGACUUAUAUAUAUAUAUAUAUAUAUAUAUAUAUAAAGUCCGGCUACUAUACUCUUAUGAGUACGAUCGCUUUCGUACUCAUAAGUUGUUUUCGAUGAUAGAGCUUCCGAAUCGAUGAUCGAUGCCGUUAAACAUUAUCUAGAGCAUUUAAAACUUCUAGAAAUCAAAUUUCAUAACUUUUCGAUAUCAUUUACCUUACGAUCAAAAGCUCACAAAAGUGACAAUUUUUAAUGGCCGGUAUGAGAUAUUUGCUAGUUUAACGGUGAAAAAGAAUCGGAAUUGGUUGAGUUUUUGAUAGAAAAUUAUAUUCACUACCUAAAUAAAGAUCAAUAACUCUGAUCUUAAAUUGAAGGAUCCGAUCAUCCAUUUUUAGGAUGUCGUUCUAUUUUAACCGUUCAUUUUAUACCGGCUUGAUGGACUUUAUAAAAUAUUUCGAAAAAUUAUGAAAUUUAUUUUCUAGAAGUUUCAAAUACUCUAGAUUAUGUUUAACGGUGUGGAUCGUCGAUUCAAAAACCCCAAUAUCGAAAACAACUUAUGAGUACGAAGGGCUCUAUACUCAUAAGAGUAUAGUAGCCCUACUCUCUCUCUCUCUAUAUAUGUAACGUCCCGAGACUCGCUACCAAUUUGGUCCUGUUCGGGCGCGUCGAACAGACGCCGAACGGACAGGACCUCCCCUGUCCGCCCAAGGCUAACAACGAGGUCAUGUACAAACAAGUUCCCAGGAAAUCACUUGAAUACAUACAUGAUCAUACAACAACAACGAGAGCACAACCAGUCCUAAACAAUCGAGAGCAAGCAUCACGAGUAAAGUACAUAUAAGUGAAAUAAAAGAGAGACACUUAUCUAUUACAACAUUCAGUUUUAAUACGUUCGAUUACAUUUAAACUUCCAAAAAAAUAUAAACAUAAAGUUUACAUCAUCCAAAAUCUCUCACACCUAUACAUCAUCUACUCUCAAUACAAAAGGGUGACUACUAAUGCAAAUAGGAAGGUAACUACAAUCUCUAGGGCGCUAAGCCCUUACUACGAUCUUCGCCGGGUGUACUUGAACUUGGUCUUGCAACAAAGUGGGGUGAGAACUACGAAUAGUUCCCAGUGGGUUCGGCCGCCAACUCCGCCGAUCUCCCCACUAGGUCUAAGCAGGCAUAGAUAGAUAACAGAUAGAUAGAUAAGCUUAAAAGCGAUAACAAUAAGUAGAAGCGAAAGUGCCCUAUCAUGCCUUAAUGUAAUAUAAUGAAUGCAUGCAACUCAUAGUAAAGGCUAGCUACCAUGCUACUAUGUUCAACAAUAAAGCUACUCAUAGAUCACCCAAUUUCUCGGCUAACCCGAAGGCUCGCUCUCAAUCUCACAUUUGCAAGUCUCGUAGGGGAGGAGAUUUUGAUCACUCGCUACCCCCGAGACCGCCUGCAGACAGCUAGCUACUGUCCGGGCAGCUCACCGACUGCCCCUGGAGUGACAAAACUCCGGAGUGCACAGCUUGUUUGGAGCGACCACUACAAGCGCAGACAGGCUAUGUAAGCACGAUCCGAUCCUUGUGAACCGGGGAUACCCUACCAACUAGGGAUGGCAUCAUCAUGGAAUCAAUGUACUACUAUACUCAUUGGUUUAGUGUUUCAACUACACUAAGGUACUCAUAUGCCACUCAUUCAUGUGUUCAAUAUUAACUAGAUGCCACUCGUUCUCAUUACAUAUUCCCAAUACACUAGUUUAUACCUUACUAGGUUUCAUUUACAUAAGCAUAUUCAUCAAUUAUCAUCUCAUUAUAGGGUUUCGCAUCAUCGUGUCCUGAUCUCAUGCAUACUAGGUUCAAGUAUCCAAACCAAUAGCACUAUACUUACACUAGCAUGCAAGAAUAUGUAAUAACACUAAAUACCCUAUAAUGCAUCAUGCUCAAUAUGCAAAUAUAAUCGACAACAAUAACUUAGACAUAAGGAGCAGUUCAACUGCUUCGGGAUGGUCACUACCCACCUGUUGGCGAUGCUACAACUCGAAGAACGGGACUCGGCAAUCUCUUGGAACGUCGCUUCGGCUCUCCGAAUAGAAACGAAGGCUACGACCGCCCCCUUUUGCCAGGAACUCUCUACCAACUCGACGAAUCGUCAAACCGUCUUCGCCGAUGCGUUUAGAUACCUAGCAAUUAGGUUUACGACCAACUAAUUUAGGUCAAAACCCUUAAUUUCUCAAAAACCCAUUUCGGAGCCCUAGAUUGCAAAUAACGCAAUCGACUCCAAUUAAACCCUAGAUUCAUGCAAUUAAGACAUCACUAGCAUCAUAGGGUUUAACCAAAACCAAUUCUAGAGCAUUCUAUCAAAACCCUAGGGAGAUACCAUUGGAGUGUUAGAAGCUUACCUCCAAAAGCUUCUCCAAACAAGAGGAAGAAGAUGAAGAAGGUGAUGAUCCUCUUCUUGACCUUCUUCUCCUUCUACUCCUUCUCCUUCAACCUUAGGGAAAGAGAGAGAGAGAGAGCAAGAGCUUAGAGAGAGAGGGAGCUAUUAGGGUUCCUUGUUGGGAGAAAAUGAGAAGAGAGAGAGAUCAAAGCUUCUCAUAUAGCCCAACUUAUGCAUAUAUGCAUUUUAGCCCCUCAACUUUACAAGUAUGUGACAACCCAUUUUUGGGCACUUCGGGCUACAGGGACCGGUCCCUCUAAGGGAGGACCGGUCCCCGUCAGCAAAUUUUUCCCAGGUGAGCUUCAGCUCAACUUUGCACCCGUACGGGGACCGGUCCCUCUUAAGGAGGACCGGUCCCCGAGAGCAAUUUGGGCAUGUUGAGCAUCAGCUCAACCUCCACAUGCUUACGGGAAGCGGUCCCCUCCCAGAGGGAUCGGUCCCCGAGAGCACAAAAUCUGCAAUUUGUGCACAUUUCGCACAGCUUGCUCCCGCGGGUCCUCCUCAAUGCACUUUAUGCAUUUUUGAUGACUUCGGCCUUUCCGAAUCACACCAAGUCGACAACAAGUCGAUUCUAAGCGAAGUCUAACUCUCGGAUUUCGAGAAUUCACUUCCUUAAAAUAUAUAUAUAUAUAUAUAUAUAUAUAUAUAUAUAUAGAACUAGGCUGAAAUACUAUUAAUAGCACCAAUGACUUGGUGCUAUUAAGUUUUCUGCCCUUGGAUUAAAAGAUGUGCGGUUAGGAUGAUGCGGGCCCCCUAGGGUUGAGUGGGUGGUUGGUUGAAUAGUAUAAUCGAAUGGAUGAAAAUAAUAAAAGAGGUAAAUCUAACGACAGAAAACUUGAUAGCACCAAAUGCUUCGUGCUAUCGAUAGUAUCCCAGCCGAACUCUAUAUAUAUAUAUAUAUAUAUAUAUAUAUAUAUAUAUAAUAUGUCUUUAGUGCUAUUAGGAGCACGGAGACCUUUGUGCACCUAAGCCAUUUUUGAUGAUGGAACUUCCGAAUCGAUAAUCGGCUCCGUUAGACUUGAUCUAGCGUAUUUGAACUAAUCUAAAAAAUAAAUUUGUUGUUUUUCGAUAUUAUUUACCUAGUGAUUGAAAGGAUUCGAAAUCAACAAUAUUUUCUUUAUACUAUCUAUAUAGCAAGAUCAAUAUCUCUGAUAAAAAAUUUUAGUGCUAUAUCACCGCUAGGUAAAUGAUAUCGAAAAAUUGCAAAAUUUAUUUUCUAAAUACUUUAAAUACGCUAGAUCAAGUCUAACGGAGCUCAUCGUCAAUUCAAAAGCUUCAUCAUCGAAAAUAGCUUAAAAGCAUGGAAGCCUCCAUGUUCCUAAUAGCACACAAGACCUACUAUAUAUAUAUAUAUAUAUAUAGAGAGAGAGAGAGAGAGAGAGAGCUGGGCUACUAUACUAACUUUCAACUUGGUUGAAUAGUCUGAUCUAACGGGUGAGAAUGAUCAGAGGGUAGAUCUAAUGGCAGAAAACUCGAUAGUAUCAAAUGCUUGGUACUAUCGAUAGUAUAGCAGUCGACUCAUAUAUAUAUAUAUAUAUAUAUAUAUAUAUAUAUAGUAUGUCUUGUGUGCUAUUAGGAGCAUGGAGGUCUCUGUGCACCUAAGCCAUUUUCGAUUAUGGAACUUCCGAAUCGAUGAUCGGCUCCGUUAGACUUGUUCUAGCGUAUUUGAACUAAUAUAAAAAAUAAAUUUGUUGUUUUUCGAUAUCAUUUACCUAGUGAUUGAAAGGAUUCAAAAUCAACAAUAUUUUCUUUAUACUAUCUAUAGUAAGAUCAAUAUCUCUGAUAAAAAAUUUUAGUGCUAUAUCACCGUUAGGUGAAUGAUAUCGAAAUAUUGCAAAAUUUAUUUUCUAAACACUUUAAAUAUGCUAGAUCAAGUCUAACGGAGCUCAUCGUCAAUUCAAAAGCUUCAUCAUCGAAAAUAGCUUAAAAGCACGGAAGCCUCCGUGCUCCUAAUAGUACACAAGACCUACUAUAUGUAUAUAUAUAUAUAUAUAUAUAUAUAUAGAGAGAGAGAGAGAGAGAGAGAGAGAGAGAGAGAGAGAGAGGGAGCUGGGCUACUAUACUAACUUUCAACUUAGUUGAAUAGUAUGAUCUAACGGGUGAGAAUGAUCAGAGGGUAGAUCUAAUGGCAGAAAACUCGAUAGUAUCAAAAGAUAUAGAGAGAGAGAGAGAGAGAGGGAGCUGGGCUACUAUACUAACUUUCAACUUAGUUGAAUAGUAUGAUCUAACGGGUGAGAAUGAUCAGAGGGUAGAUCUAAUGGCAGAAAACUCGAUAGUAUCAAAAGCUUAGUCCUAUCGAUAGUAUAGCAGCCGACUCAUAUAUAUAUAUAUAUAUAUAUAUAUAUAUAUAUAUGUAUAGAGUCCGGCUACUAUACUCUUAUGAAUACGAUCGCCUUCGUACUCAUAAGUUGUUUUCGAUGAUAGAGCUUCCAAAUCGACAAUCCAUGCCGUUAAAUAGUAUCUAGAGCAUUUAAAACUUCUAGAAAUCAAAUUUCAUAAUUUUUUGAUAUCAUUUACCGUACGAUCAAAAGCUCACAAAUUGAGAAUUUUUAAUGGCCGGUAUUAGAUAUUUGCUAGUUUAAUGGUGAAAAAGAAUCGGAAUAGGUUGAAUUUUUUAUAGAAAAUUAUAUUCACUACCUAAAUAAAGUUCAAUAACUUUGAUCUUAAAUUGAAGGAUCCGAUCAUCAAUUUUGAGGAUGUCGUUCGAUUUUAACCGUUCAUUUUAUACCGGCUUGAUGGACUUUAUAAUGAUUUCGAAAAAUUAUGAAAUUUAUUUUCUAGAAGUUUCAAAUACUCUAGAUCAUAUUUAACGGUGUGGAUCGUCGAUUCAAAAACCCCAAUAUCGAAAACAACUUAUGAGUACGAAGGGCUCUAUAUUAUGAGUAUAGUAGUAGCCCUACUAUAUAUAUAUAUAUAGUAUGUCUUGUGUGCUAUUAGGAGCACGGAGGCCUCUGUGCACCUAAGCCAUUUUCGAUGAUAGAACUUCCGAAUCGAUGAUCGGCUCCGUUAGACUUGAUCUAGCGUAUUUGAACUAAUCUAAAAAAUAAAUUUGUUGAUUUUUGAUAUCAUUUACCUAGUGAUUGAAAGGAUUCAAAAUCAACAAUAUUUUCUUUAUACUAUCUAUAGCAAGAUCAAUAUCUCUGAUAAAAAAUUUUAGUGCUAUAUCACCGCUAGGUAAAUGAUAUCGAAAAAUUGCAAAAUUUAUUUUCUAAACACUUUAAAUACGCUACAUCAAGUCUAACGGAGCCCAUCGUCAAUUCAAAAGUUUCAUCAUCGAAAAUAGCUUAGAAGCACGGAAGCCUCCGUGCUCCUAAUAGCACACAAGACCUACUAUAUAUAUAGAAAGAGAGAGAGCUAGGCUACUAUACUAUCCGUAGCACAGAGGUCUUCGUACUACUAAGUUGUUUUCAAUGAUGCGACUUUCAAAUCUACGAUGGGCUCCGUCAAACUUGAUCUACACUUUUAAAAGUAUUUGGAAACUAAAUUUCAUAAUUUUUCGACAUUAUUUAGUUAGUGAUCAAAAGGUUUCAAAAUUGACAAUUCUAAUGGUUGAUAUGAUGCAUUUGUAAAUUUAACGGUGUGAAAUAAUCC
rnacentral:lncRNA from 1 species